rnacentral:rRNA from 1 species
UACGAAGGGGCUAGCGUUGCUCGGAAUCACUGGGCGUAAAGGGUGCGUAGGCGGGUCUUUAAGUCAGGGGUGAAAUCCUGGAGCUCAACUCCAGAACUGCCUUUGAUACUGAAGAUCUUGAGUUCGGGAGAGGUGAGUGGAACUGCGAGUGUAGAGGUGAAAUUCGUAGAUAUUCGCAAGAACACCAGUGGCGAAGGCGGCUCACUGGCCCGGAACUGACGCUGAGGUGCGAAAGCGUGGGGAGCAAACAGG